AUUAAAUAGAGUUUGAUCCAGGCUCAGAAUAAAUGCUAUUGGUAUGCUUAACACAUGCAAGUUGAAUGUUUAAUUUUUAAACAUAGCGAACGGGUGAGUAACGCGUGAAUUAUCUACCUUUUAAUUCAGGAUAAUUAUUUUAUAUAAAAAUACUGAAUAAUUUUAAUAAAGUUUUAAUAACGUUAAAAGAUGAGUUUGCGUAAGAUUAGGUAGUUGGUAGUUUAAAAGACUACCAAGCCGACUAUCUUUAGCUGGUUUGAAAGAAUGAUCAGCCACAUUGGGACUGAGACACGGCCCAAACUUUUUUAAAGGCAGCAGUGGGGAAUUUUGGACAAUGAGCGAAAGCUUGAUCCAGCAAUACCAAGUGAGUGAAGAAGGCUAAUUAGGUUGUAAAGCUCUUUCAUUAAGGAGGAAAAUGACAGUACUUAAAAAAGAAGUUCCGGCUAAUACCCGUGCCAGCAGCCGCGGUAAUACGGGAGGAGCGAGCAUUAUUCGGAAUGAUUAGGCGUAAAGGGUUUGUAGGUGGUUUUUUAAGUUGAAAAAAACAAAUUAAAGCUCAACUUUAUAAAUUUUUUCAAAACUGAAAAACUUGAGUAUAAAUAGAGGAUAAUGGAAUUUCUAUUGGAGGGAUAAAAUACGUUGAUAAUAGAAGGA
rnacentral:ncRNA from 1 species